rnacentral:lncRNA from 1 species
AAAACUGGGCUGGCGAUGUAGUUGCCUGUGGCUUAACUACUACUAUUAGUGCUUUUUAGGCCCAAACCCCUAAUGUGUUUUCUCCAUUCCUUUCUUUCAUCUGCUUUCAGCAAGGGAAGCCGUAUGUCUUUGACCGAGUGCUGCCGCCCAACACAACCCAGGAGCAGGUCUACAAUGCCUGUGCAAAGCAGAUUGUCAAAGGUAAGUGCCCCUUUAUUUCCUCCUGGGAUGUCACUAAUGAAAACAUUAAGUGACAUUCGCAGCCUAGCAAUCAGUGUGCCUCCACUGUAAGCAGAGUCCUGUUAAUUGGAAACACUAAAUUGCUGUCUUGGCUCUAGCCCUGCCUUGCUGUGACUGACCUCAGUCACGUUAUUCAACCUCUGCAUUAGUUUUCUCUGUUACUGUUGCCGCCUCUUUGGUGGGCUUAUUCUGUUCCCUAAGAGCUCACAAAGCAAGGUAAGCGGUGUCACAGAAUUUCUGUCGUGGUCUCUGGGGACUACAGGGAGAGUGUUCCUUUCAUGUUUGAGGGAGGAAAUGGAUUGCUCCAUGCUUUAGCCGUACAUGUUUGGCUGGUUUCUUUUACUAAUAACUCCGAGAAUGUAGUCUUACAGGUGAAAGGUUGCUCUUGCCACCAAGGGGUAUUCUACAGUGUCAUGAAGUCCCCCCUUUGAGCUAGCUGUGCAGCCAUGUCUGCUCUACAGCAGUCCUUAAUUUCAAUUUUCACCAUCCUACCACUUUCAGCCAUCCUACCACAUCCCGACAUGUGUUCCUCCAAACAGGUAGCUUCAAGCUUGCCUUUGUGCCGCAGAGAUCAGUUCUUUUCACUGGGACUGGCCUUGGCCCUGGAGGAUUUGUGUCAAAAUAACAGCAGGGCGAAGAAGCAAUUUGUACAUUGCUCUCUCUUGCCAUUUCAAAGCAGGAGCAGGUUGGAGCAUGCUGUGGCAGGCCCUGCCAUCUGGACAAGGCUGAGGGGCAUCUCCCGCGUGCCUGCUUUUCUCCAUCAAAUCCUUGCCUUCAGAUGGGAAUGCCACGGCAGCCAUGUGCUCAAAGGUCUUGAUGCUGCCACCCAUACAGGCAGCCAUGGGUUUAAAAGACAGAAGCAUCUUGCAGCUUUCGAUCUGCUGUUCUCAGGGAGCCGAGCUGACUAACCUAUUUGAAAUUCAUGAGAUUCAGGCCUGGUACAUCUGCUAGAUGAAUUCUGACCCUGGACACCUGUGUGGGAGACUCACGUCAGCAGGCAAUGUUCCCUGCUAAGGUGCAUGCUUAUUCACACUCUUGUUACAGAUAUCAAUUAAUUCUGAAGGUCUUCUCUGCGAGAUUAUUAU